rnacentral:rRNA from 1 species
CCCAGGGAAACUUGGAUUAAUGCCCCGUAGUACCGUAUUUCGGCAUCGUUAUACSGUUAAAGCCUUCSGGSGGUACAAGAUGGCCAUGCGUCCCAUUAGCUAGAUGGUAAGGUAACGGCUUACCAUGGCUACSAUGGGUAGGGGCCCUGAGAGGGGGAUCCCCCACACUGGUACUGAGACACGGACCAGACUCCUACGGGAGGCAGCAGUGAGGAAUAUUGGACAAUGGAGGAGACUCUGAUCCAGCCAUGCCGCGUGCAGGAAGAAUGCCCUAUGGGUAGUAAACUGCUUUUAUACGGGAAGAAAAAGAGCUACGUGUAGCUUACUGACGGUACCGUAAGAAUAAGGACCGGCUAACUCCGUGCCAGCAGCCGCGGUAAUACGGAGGGUCCGAGCGUUAUCCGGAAUUAUUGGGUUUAAAGGGUCCGUAGGCGGGCCGAUAAGUCAGGGGUGAAAGUCUGCCGCUCAACGGUAGAACUGCCUUUGAUACUGUCGGUCUUGAGUUAUAGUGAAGUUGCCGGAAUAUGUAGUGUAGCGGUGAAAUGCAUAGAUAUUACAUAGAACACCGAUUGCGAAGGCAGGUGACUAACUAUAUACUGACGCUGAUGGACGAAAGCGUGGGGAGCGAACAGGAUUAGAUACCCUGGUAGUCCACGCCGUAAACGAUGGAUACUAGCUGUCCGGGACCUUGAGUUCUGGGCGGCCAAGCGAAAGUGAUAAGUAUCCCACCUGGGGAGUAC